rnacentral:rRNA from 1 species
UACGGAGGGGGCUAGCGUUGUUCGGAAUUACUGGGCGUAAAGCGCACGUAGGCGGCUUUGUAAGUUAGAGGUGAAAGCCCAGGGCUCAACCCUGGAAUUGCCUUUAAGACUGCAUCGCUAGAAUUGUGGAGAGGUAAGUGGAAUUCCGAGUGUAGAGGUGAAAUUCGUAGAUAUUCGGAAGAACACCAGUGGCGAAGGCGACUUACUGGACACAUAUUGACGCUGAGGUGCGAAAGCGUAGGGAGCAAACAGG